GGGGAUGGGACGGUGGCUCAGUGGUAGAGCAUCUGCUUAGGAAGCAGAAGGUCCCAGGUUCAAUCCCCGGCAUCUCCA